rnacentral:rRNA from 1 species
UACGUAGGGUGCGAGCGUUAAUCGGAAUUACUGGGCGUAAAGUGUGCGCAGGUGGCCGCGCAAGUCGAGUGUGAAAUCCCCGAGCUUAACUUGGGAAUUGCGCUCGAAACUACGUGGCUCGAGUGUGGCAGAGGAAGGUGGAAUUCCACGUGUAGCGGUGAAAUGCGUAGAGAUGUGGAGGAACACCGAUGGCGAAGGCAGCCUUCUGGGCCAACACUGACGCUGAUGCGCGAAAGCUAGGGUAGCAAACGGG